rnacentral:rRNA from 1 species
GCUUGCUACCUGACCUAGCGGCGGACGGGUGAGUAAUGCUUAGGAAUCUGCCUAUUAGUGGGGGACAACAUUCCGAAAGGAAUGCUAAUACCGCAUACGCCUACGGGGGAAAGCAGGGGAUCUUCGGACCUUGCGCAUAAUAGAUGAGCCUAAGUCAGAUUAGCUAGUUGGUGGGGUAAAGGCCUACCAAGGCGACGAUCUGUAGCGGGUCUGAGAGGAUGAUCCGCCACACUAGGACUGAGACACGGCCAAGACUCCUACAGGAGGCAGCAGUGGGGAAUAUUGGACAAUGGGCGAAASCUGAUCCAGCCAUGCCGCGUGUGUGAAGAAGGCCUUUUGGUUGUAAAGCACUUUAAGCGAGGAGGAGGCUACUUAGAUUAAUACUCUAGGAUAGUGGACGUUACUCGCAGAAUAAGCACCGGCUAACUCUGUGCCAGCAGCCGCGGUAAUACAGAGGGUGCGAGCGUUAAUCGGAUUUACUGGGCGUAAAGCGUGCGUAGGCGGCUUUUU